AUUCCAGCUCCAAUAGCGUAUAUUAAAGUUGUUGCAGUUAAAAAGCUCGUAGUUGGAUUUCUGGCGUGCGACCCGGGUCGGCCCGAAAUGGGUCUGUACUAGGAGUCGCGCGCCAUCCUUGGGGCGAGGCGUACUACCAUUAACUUGGCGGUGCGUUGAGCCCCAUCGUUUACUGUGAACAAAUUAGAGUGUUUAAAGCAGGCAUAUGCCUUGAAUACAUUAGCAUGGAAUAAUAAGAUAGGACUUCGGUAAUAUUUUGUUGGUUCAUUAUUGAGGUAAUGAUUAAUAGGGAUAGUUGGGGGUAUUCAUAUUCAAUUGUCAGAGGUGAAAUUCUUGGAUUUAUGGAAGAUGAACAACUGCGAAAGCAUUUACCAAGGAUGUUUUCAUCG
rnacentral:rRNA from 1 species